UCAAGCGCUAGCAUUACCUCCUGAACUAUACGUCUGCUGCUGCUGCUCUAAGAUAUGCAUGUAUUACGUGGGAGAAGAGAUUUAGGUCUUCAUCCAACCAUCGAAGAAAGUGGAUGGAAAGAUACUAUGGGGUUUAAGAAAUCACCUAGGUUUAUCCUAAAUUUUUCGUGAGAUGACUCAUCAUUUAUGCUUAUUCAUGUGCUUGACAAGGAUAAGGUGGACCAAACCUAUAUAUUCCGUUGCUCGAACCAAACAAAAAUACGAGACGAAGUGAGAGGAUGAUAUAUGGAUCGAUUGUAUAACUCAAAGCACAAUUACCUCGUGCAUAAGUUUCGAAGCAAGUGAUGAGAUUUUGCUUUUGGAGGGUAAGGAAGGCGCUCUGAAAUGCUAGCGCCUUAAUUUAUCUUUUGUAGACCCUCUGUCUUAUAGACCAAGGUCUUAGAGCGUUCGGAAGACGCUUUUCAGAUCACCUAAAAGCUUAUCAUAUCGUUUGCAGAACUGUAUAUAUUCCCUGCCCAUGUGAAAUCAAAAGACUACACCAAACUAGCAGUAGCAUUCCGUUUCCACCACCUUUGCGUAUUGUCUACGAAGUCUUUCAGGUGAAAUCGAUCAGUAUCAACAAACUGCAUGCAGAAGAAAUUAAAUCAGAUAAGGAAGCAGUAGCGUAGGUCUGUUUCCCACCUCCUAAAAUUUUAGCUUCUAAAAAAAGUUUUAGUCAGUUUUUAGUCUAUGGUCUAAAGCAUGUUUGGUUCCACCUCCUAAAACUAACUAAAAGCAAUAAAUGUUGUGGUAAAAUGAUCAUACUGCCCUCCCCAUGCCCCUGCUCCUUCUUUGCCCGCCCCUCCCCUC
rnacentral:lncRNA from 1 species